AGUGAACGCUGGCGGUAGGCCUAACACAUGCAAGUCGAACGGCAGCACAGUAAGAGCUUGCUCUUACGGGUGGCGGGUGGCGGACGGGUGAGGAAUACAUCGGAAUCUACUUUUUCGUGGGGGAUAACGUAGGGAAACUUACGCUAAUACCGCAUACGACCUACGGGUGAAAGCAGGGGAUCUUCGGACCUUGCGCGAUUGAAUGAGCCGAUGUCGGAUUAGCUAGUUGGCGGGGUAAAGGCCCACCAAGGCGACGAUCCGUAGCUGGUCUGAGAGGAUGAUCAGCCACACUGGAACUGAGACACAGUCCAGGCUCCUACGGGAGGCAGCAGUGGGGAAUAUUGGACAAUGGGCGCAAGCCUGAUCCAGCCAUACCGCGUGGGUGAAGAAGGCCUUCGGGUUGUAAAGCCCUUUUGUUGGGAAAGAAAAGCAGCAGGUUAAUACCCCGCUGUUCUGACGGUACCCAAAGAAUAAGCACCGGCUAACUUCGUG
rnacentral:rRNA from 1 species